ACCUACGGGGGGCAGCAGUGAGGAAUAUUGGUCAAUGGGCGGAAGCCUGAACCAGCCAAGUCGCGUGAGGGAUUAAGGCCCUAUGGGUCGUAAACCUCUUUUGUCAGGGAGCAAGGUCGUCCACGUGUGGGCGUAUGGAGAGUACCUGAAGAAAAAGCAUCGGCUAACUCCGUGCCAGCAGCCGCGGUAAUACGGAGGAUGCGAGCGUUAUCCGGAUUUAUUGGGUUUAAAGGGUGCGCAGGCGGCACGGCAAGCCGGCGGUCAAAUCGCGGGGCUCAACCCCGCCCAGCCGUCGGAACUGCCGG
rnacentral:rRNA from 1 species